GGCUCAGGACGAACGCUGGCGGCACGCUUAACACAUGCAAGUCGAACGGAGUUAUCGAGAGCUUGCUUUGAUAACUUAGUGGCGACGGGUGAGUAACACGUGAGCAAUCUGCCCUUAAGAGGGGGAUAGCAGUUGGAAACGACUGAUAAUACCGCAUAAGAUAGUAGUACCGCAUGGUACAGCUAUAAAAGAUUUAUCGCUUAAGGAUGAGCUCGCGUCUGAUUAGCUAGUUGGUGAGGUAACGGCUCACCAAGGCAACGAUCAGUAGCCGGACUGAGAGGUUGGACGGCCACAUUGGGACUGAGACACGGCCCAGACUCCUACGGGAGGCAGCAGUGGGGAAUAUUGCACAAUGGAGGAAACUCUGAUGCAGCGAUGCCGCGUGAGGGAAGAAGGUUUUAGGAUUGUAAACCUCUGUUGACAGGGACGAUAAUGACGGUACCUGUUGAGGAAGCUCCGGCUAACUACGUGCCAGCCGCUGC
rnacentral:rRNA from 1 species